AAUCAACGCUGGCGGCGUGCCUCAGACAUGCAAGUCGAACGAUUAAAGCUCUCUUCGGAGAGUGCAUAGAGUGGCGCACGGGUGAGUAACACGUAAGUAAUCUACCCUCGAGUGGGGAAUAACGUCCGGAAACGGACGCUAAUACCGCAUAAUGCAGCGGCACCGCAAGGUGACAGUUGUUAAAGAUUUAUCGCUUGAGGAGGAGCCUGCGGCAGAUUAGCUAGUUGGUAAGGUAAUGGCAUACCAAGGCUACGAUCUGUAACCGGUCUAAGAGGACGGUCGGUCACACUGACACUGAAUAACGGAUCAGACUCCUACGGGAGGCAGCAGUCGGGAAUUUUGGGCAAUGGGCGAAAGCCUGACCCAGCAACGCCGCGUGAAGGAUGAAGUAUUUCGGUAUGUAAACUUCGAAAGAAUAGGAAGAAUUAAUGACGGUACUAUUUAUAAGGUCCGGCUAACUACGUGCCAGCCGCCGCGGUAACAC
rnacentral:rRNA from 1 species